UACGGAGGGUGCAAGCGUUAUCCGGAUUCACUGGGUUUAAAGGGAGCGUAGGUGGGCUGGUAAGUCAGUGGUGAAAUCUCCGGGCUUAACUCGGAAACUGCCGUUGAUACUAUCAGUCUUGAAUAUUGUGGAGGUAAGCGGAAUAUGUCAUGUAGCGGUGAAAUGCUUAGAUAUGACAUAGCACACCGAUAGCGAAGGCAGCUUGCUACACAAUUAUUGACACUGAGGCUCGAAAGCGUGGGGAUCAAACAGG
rnacentral:rRNA from 1 species